GGGUUAGUACUUAGCUUCGGCAUUUGUAAAAUGCUGAGGAAAGUCCACCCACCUCAAGGCAAAACGUUGACUCGUUAAGAGAGCCACUCGCGGAAGCGAGCUCUAGCGAUAGAGGGCAACCGCUCAGAAACGAUACCGCUGCAAAGCAGGAUGAUAUUUGCGAAGGCGUCUGCGAGGACGCUGAACUAACCAACUGACGUUCUUGCAGCAUGGAUGAAACGGCGAGCCCCUGGCUGGUGCAAGUCUUAUAAAGACGCUUAGUUUAAUGCUAAGGCAGGCUAUCGUGAUUGUGUCGAUAAAUGCUUUGCAUUUUCGACAGCAAUAAUCACAUUCAGGGCCUGACAAAAGGUGGCUUAUUCUAACCC
rnacentral:RNase_P_RNA from 1 species